rnacentral:lncRNA from 1 species
UUUUUUAUUUGUUUUUAUUUUUUCAAAUUCCUUCUUAAAUUAUUUUAAAGUAAUUGUGACCAGAACCCCAUCACCUCACUUUAAAAAAAAUCUGAAGACUGGAGUUUAGAGGGAAUAUAUCAUCUGUCAAGGUCAGAGGCCAAAUAGGUUUCUGAAAAAAGCUGGAUUGAAACUAGGUCUGACUUCAGGGGAAAUGAUACUAGAGUGCUGGAAAGGGAAGAGUGUAGUUCCUUUAAACGAUACAGAAGCGGGGAAGGGAAGUGCUGGGUAGAGAAGAACCGGUCCCUGGCUAGGGCUCCACCCCCACGAACCUAGUUGAGGACAGGCAUUUCCUGCCCAGAUGUUGCAUUUCACAAGACUACCCUGGCCCACCAGAUCCCCAUCCUGGGCCUAUAAAAACCCGAGACCCUAGCCGGCCAACACACAGAAGCGGCUGGACACCCUGAGGAGCACAUUAGCAGAAGACACAAGCUGGUGGACGGCAAGAGGACAUGGAGAGGAUGUCCAGGGAGCACGUCAAGAGGACGUCGAGGCAGUAUGCAGGUGGAAGAGCAUACUGACAGACGUCGGCACAGCGGCAGGCCAUCCACCAUCAAAAGGAGGCAGAGUUUGGCUGGAGCAAUCAGAGAAGAGUCCAGCUGCAAAGUGACCUGACUCCAGCGGAAAACCAUCUCCCUCUGGCUCCGCCAUCUGCUGAGAGCUACUUCUACUCAGUAAAACCUGGCACUCAUUCUCCAAGCCCACAUGUGAUCUGAUUCUCCGGCACACCAAAGCAAGAAACCCCGGGAAUACAGAAAUCCCUCUGUCGGAAGGGGGUCUAAUUGAUUUGGUUAACACAAGCGGCCUAUGGACGGCAAACCAAGAGAGCAUCGUUAACACACGCCCACUGGGGUUUCAGGAGCCGUGAAUAUUCCCCUCAGACACUGCCGUGGGGUCAGAGCCCCACAGUCUGCCAGUCUUUAUGCUCCCCUAGAUAUUCAAACAGCAGGGCACUGAAGAAGCCAGCCACACACCCAUCGCACACCCUGCGAGGGGGACAAGGGAAUCUUUCCCAUUUCAGAAGCUGGAUUGAAACUAGGUCUGAUUCCAGCAACAAACUGCUGGCACUCUCUGCCAUUUGUCCUCCUAAUGUCUAUGCUAUCUAUAUAUGGAGAAUAACUAUAGGGAAGUUAUUCUCCAAUGGGUCAAAGUUAUCAUAUACUGUUUACGUGGUCGGAAAAGCUAAUUACAUAUGUGAGAAGAGCUGCCCCCUGCAGCUCUGCUUUGGUUUGGUAGGCAAUUGGUUGGUUUGCUCUUUACCAACAAUUUCAGAGGUAGGAGAGAAGUUUGAAGGACUUCUAAAGUGACGGUUGAAAUAAAAACCUGAAGGAGAAACCCUGUAAGGUUUUCAGUUAACAUUCCGAAACUAAUUUAGAGACUAGGACUGGAAAAUUGUGUAUAAUUUAUUUUGUUUCAAGCUAUUAUGUCUCUUAUACCCUAAAAUCAUUAGGAAGAAACAGCUAAUAGAACAAAUAUACCAAGACUGGUCUUUGCAUGUGGCAAAAAUGCCAGGGUAGUCUGCUUCCAAUUUUGUGCACUCUUGAAGUGAAAGAACUCCAGGGGUUAGUGCAUAAACUGGCUGCUUUAAGGAGGACAAAACUGCCACCCUGGGAUUUAUAGGAAGUGGCCAAAAGAGAGUAUUAAAGUCGAUCGAUGACUGAGGAAAAGAUUUGCCUUAACAAAAGCAGGUCCCAGGCGAUUCCCCACAUGCAGCACCUUCUCUGUCCAACUUGUCAUCACUCACAUUGCUAUUCUUGACAGAAAAGUCUGUCUUUUUUUUGUGGUUACAACAUUCUUCAAAGACCAACUCAAAUCUCUCCUGCUUCAGAAAACUCUGUUGAUCACUCUCUGAUUUCCAGCCUCUCCAGAAUGCUUACUGCCUAUGUACUCUGAACUACAGAACUCAGAAUUUAAUUUUACAAGUGGGCAAGAAGGUCUUAACCCUCCCUUCAACUUGACUAAACUUCACACAGGUUGGUUCCUGACUAUAGGCCCUUGAUCUCCCUUUUCUUAGAGCACUUACUUCAGAACACUUGGAAUUGUCAAUUCUUUCUGUGUUCCCUAAACACGUAAAUCUUCUGCUAGACUCCUGUCAGUUUUACAACCCAGGAAUGUCUUUCUCAAGGUCCUAGGAGCCAUCCCUUUUAAAUAAAAUCUUCAGGAAUGAUACUGUUCCUAUCUCCCAGUCUUAUGGGAAGGUAAGAGCCUAACUUCUAUAAGCAUCAAUUAGCAAACACAGAUGGC